CGCGCCACGGCACUCCAGUCCGGGCAACAGAGCAAGACUCCGUCUGAAAAAACAAACAAACAAACAAACAAACAAGAAACCAUAUACAAACUUCUGUCUGUCCAGCUCUACCUGUGCAUCCAGAGAGAUGGAUAUGGAUAUAGGGCUCAAUAUCCUGAGGAGGAGAACUUUGAAUCACCAGGUCAACUACAGGAAUGUCCAAACCACAAGGAGCCACGUUGGUUGCCACCAAAACUUUAUAAUUAUCUCUCUGAAGCCUUGUAGUGUAAUUUAUCUUUGUGACUGUGCAAUGUCCCAUGUAAACACAGUGCAUUCUGUUUUGUGUGGAUUCAUGGCCAUGUCAGUUACAUUCUUCUUGGUCUCACAGAAAAUAAUAGCCCCCCCUUCAGAUCCACUAUGGACUUGAAGGACAUCUCAUUAUCAUCUACGUUUUAUAAAGGAGGAAAUUGAGGAACUCACAUGGAGGGACUGGGAUUUAAAACCAGGUCUUCUGAUUUUAAGGCCUUUUCUUUUAGUGUUUUCCCUUUUCUUUUCCUUAAGUCACUAAAAUCUACAGUUAUAUAACCUUACAAAAAUCAUGAUAUGCAAAAUAGAAAAAUGAUAGUGACCACAUAUCUACUAAUGGCAUUAAAAUGUAUAAUCCUAAAAGCUUACUUGUUAGCACACUUGCUUAUCUGUCCAUUCAUUCAUUGAACCAGUAAGUAUUUAUUGAGAGUUACAGUGGGAAUACAAUGCUGUGAAAGACAAACAAGAUCCCUCCCUUCACACCACUUAAAUUCUAGUGGGGGAAACAUCUGCACAUAACAAACUAAAUAAAAUGAUCAUAAAAUAAUAAAUGUUAUUUAUAUAAAACUGGCUACUUUCUUUACUGCUCAGUUAAAGGGUCUUGUAGCUCAUUUUACGAUAUGAAAAAAAUCAAGGUCUAAAAGCUCCUUGAGACAAUUUAAACUCUAAUACCAAAUAUACCUCUAUAAAAUACCAAACUGAGCUAAUACUGUAUAUGUGUACUUAUACAUAUGUACAUAACCUAAAUAUAUGUAUGCACAUAUUAUCUAUACAAAGAGCCAUACUCAGUGAAAGAUAAGUUACCUCCUAAACUAAAGUUCCCUCUGAGGUACAAUAGAAAUUAAAAUAAUUGCUUCUUUUCUCAACUCUAUCUAGCACGUGUUUUCUGUGAUGGGAUAAAUGUUUUCAUUUCAAGUGCCAGUGUGUGAACUGUAAUAAACAUUACUGCUUUCAUUUUUUUGUAGGUACAGAGGUUACGUUAACUGUUAUAGUUGCUGAACUGAGUUUUUAUGUCAGGAAGAAGCCAUCAGUGUGUGAACAAGUCAUACAUUUUUAUCUGCAAAGACCCUUGGGAAAUGAUACUUUUCUCCAAAACUUAUCAGGAAUGUGCAUAACCAGGAUGAAUCAAAGUUCAACAUUUAUUACGCACUAUGUGCAUAUAUUACAUUGGCAAUGUAGGUAAAGUGAGCAACUUGAGAAAAAAUACUGUAUUAAACACCAAGAGAGUUCACAAUUUA